rnacentral:rRNA from 1 species
AGUGAACGCUGGCGGUAGGCCUAACACAUGCAAGUCGAACGGCAGCACAGUAAGAGCUUGCUCUUACGGGUGGCGAGUGGCGGACGGGUGAGGAAUACAUCGGAAUCUACUUUUUCGUGGGGGAUAACGUAGGGAAACUUACGCUAAUACCGCAUACGACCUACGGGUGAAAGCAGGGGAUCUUCGGACCUUGCGCGAUUGAAUGAGCCGAUGUCGGAUUAGCUAGUUGGCGGGGUAAAGGCCCACCAAGGCGACGAUCCGUAGCUGGUCUGAGAGGAUGAUCAGCUACACCGGAACUGAGACACGGUCCAGACUCCUACGGGAGGCAGCAGUGGGGAAUAUUGGACAAUGGGCGCAAGCCUGAUCCAGCCAUACCGCGUGGGUGAAGAAGGCCUUCGGGUUGUAAAGCCCUUUUGUUGGGAAAGAAAAGCAGCAGGUUAAUACCCCGCUGUUCUGACGGUACCAAAAGAAUAAGCACCGGCUAACUUCGUG